rnacentral:ribozyme from 1 species
UUUUUUUCUUUCUUGUCUUUCUUAUUUUUUCAUAUUUCCUACUUCGGGGUGGACACUUACGGAGGGGAGGUCCAUUUUUACAGGCAAUGCUUUUUAAAAAUAGAUUG